AUACGUAGGGGGCGAGCGUUGUUCGGAAUCAUUGGGCGUAAAGGGCGUGCAGGCGGUCCUGCAAGUCCGGCGUGAAAGACCCCGGCCCAACCGGGGGGACGCGCUGGAAACUGCAGGGCUUGAGUACAGGAGGGGAUGCCGGAAUUCCAGGUGUAGGGGUGAAAUCUGUAGAUAUCUGGAAGAACACCAAUGGCGAAGGCAGGCAUCUGGCCAUGUACUGACGCUGAGACGCGAAGGUGCGGGGAGCAAACAGGUUUAGAUACCCUGGUAGUCCGCACAGUAAACGAUGUGCACCAGGUGGCGGGGGGUCGACCCCCGGUACCGUAGCUAACGCAUUAAGUGCACCGCCUGGGGAGUAUGCUCGCAAGGGUGAAACUCAAAUGAAUUGACGGGG
rnacentral:rRNA from 1 species